rnacentral:tRNA from 1 species
GGGGAGGUUCCCGAGCGGUCAAAGGGAACAGACUGUAAAUCUGUCGCCGAAGGCUUCGGAGGUUCGAAUCCUCCCCUCCCCACCA